AUUGAACGCUGGCGGAAUGCUUUACACAUGCAAGUCGAACGGCAGCACGGACUUCGGUCUGGUGGCGCGUGGCGAACGGGUGAGUAAUGUAUCGGAACGUGCCCAGCCGUGGGGGAUAACGCAGUGAAAAUUAGGCUAAUACCGCAUACGAUCUAUGGCUGAAAGCGGGGGAUUGCAAGACUUCGAGCGACAGCAGCGGCCUAUAUCAGAUUAGGUAGUUGGUGGGGUAAAGGCCCACCAAGCCAACGAACUGUAGCUGGUCUGAGAGGAAGACCAGCCACACUGGAACUGAGACACGGUCCAGACUCCUACGGGAGGCAGCAGUGGGGAAUUUUGGACAAUGUGCGAAAGCCUGAUCCAGCCAUUCCGCGUACAGGAUGAAGGCCCUCGGGUUGUAAACUGCUUUUGUACAGAACGAAAAGGUUUCUACUAAUACUAGGAGCUCAUGACGGUACUGUAAGAAUAAGCACCGGCUAACUACGUGCCAGCAGCCGCGGUAA
rnacentral:rRNA from 1 species